GCUUUAUUCGUUCUGUGAGUUCCAGGGCCUAGGACCUCUUAAUGUCUUACUUUUUGAGACCUCUAUUCUGAAACAUCUACAACUUUCAAGAUCAGUAUACCAACUGCUAAUGGAGUGAACAAAAUAAUCUGGAGGGAAGUUUGACAAGGUGGAGACCGAUGGCAAAUUCUACACAUGUGAGAUCAAGAAGUGUUUGUCAGACAAGAAGAAGAAAAGAAGAAGGAG